rnacentral:misc_RNA from 1 species
GAUGAAGAACGCAGCGAAAUGCGAUAAGUAAUGUGAAUUGCAGAAUUCAGUGAAUCAUCGAAUCUUUGAACGCACAUUGCGCCCGCCAGUAUUCUGGCGGGCAUGCCUGUUCGAGCGUCAUUUCAACCAUCAAGCCCCCGGCUUGUGUUGGGGACCCUGCGGCUGCCCGCAGGCCCUGAAAACCAGUGGCGGGCUCGCUGUCACUCCGAGCGUAGUAGCAUAUAUCUCGCUCAGGGCGUGCUGCGGGUUCCGGCCGUUAAAAGCCUUUUUUUUACCCAAGGUUGACCUCGGAUCAGGUAGGAAGACCCGCUGAACUUAAGCAUAUCAAUAAGCAGAGGA